rnacentral:rRNA from 1 species
AUACGGAGGGUGCGAGCGUUAAUCGGAAUUACUGGGCGUAAAGCGUACGUAGGCGGUUGGUUAAGUUAGAUGUGAAAGCCCCGGGCUUAACCUGGGAACUGCAUUUAAAACUGGCGAACUAGAGUUGAGUAGAGGGGAGUGGAAUUUCAGGUGUGGCGGUGAAAUGCGUAGAGAUCUGAAGGAACACCAGUGGCGAAGGCGACUCCCUGGACUCGAACUGACGCUGAGGUACGAAAGCGUGGGUAGCAAACGGGAUUAGAAACCCCGGUAGUCC